UACGUAGGGGGCGAGCGUUAUCCGGAAUGAUUGGGCGUAAAGCGUCCGCAGGUGGCUAUGUAAGUCUGCUGUUAAAGAGUGAGGCUCAACCUCAUAAAAGCAGUGGAAACUACAUGGCUAGAGUGCGUUCGGGGCAGAGGGAAUUCCUGGUGUAGCGGUGAAAUGCGUAGAGAUCAGGAAGAACACCGGUGGCGAAAGCGCUCUGCUAGGCCGCAACUGACACUGAGGGACGAAAGCUAGGGGAGCGAAUGGG
rnacentral:rRNA from 1 species